GAUGACGAAAUGUACAUUUUAUUAUUGUGGCUCACUUCGUGUUGAGGGGUCUUGCGCGUGUGAUGGCGUGGGCGAUUGGGUUGCGUUGAGAUGUAAAGAGACAGACUUAGCUGUGAGGUGAAUCUGGGGCAAGGUCAGGUUGACAACAGCUUGUUACAUUAAAAGGUCUACUGGUAUGGCAUCAGAGGAUAUUCAUGACUGGUGCAGCCAGAACUUCAAUCUCACUCUUGAGGACAUCAUCAACAACUUAGGCGAUGAGUCGUCUCUGCUGGAUGGGCUGGACGGGUCGGCCAUGGACCUGACGCCGCCAGCGCCGGCCGCGGCCGGGCCCGACUGGACGCCGGCCGAAGCCGGCCCGGUGAAGCAGGAGCCGGC